rnacentral:rRNA from 1 species
UACAGAGGUCUCAAGCGUUGUUCGGAUUCAUUGGGCGUAAAGGGUGUGUAGGUGGCGCGCUAAGUCGGGUGUGAAAUUUCGGAGCUUAACUCCGAAACUGCAUUCGAUACUGGCGUGCUUGAGGACUGGAGAGGAGACUGGAAUUCCUGGUGUAGCGGUGAAAUGCGUAGAUAUCAGGAGGAACACCUAUGGCGAAAGCAGGUCUCUGGGCCAUCACUGACGCUGAGCUGCGAAAGCUAGGGGGAGCAAACAGG